CUCCUCACAGCUACGACCCGCCCCAGUCACAGCCGGGCUGAGGACGCCCACGGCCGUCUCAGCUGGCUCACUGGUGAACGCCUUGGAGCGCUUCUUUGGUGGGAAUUAAAAUAAAUGAUGGGGUGGCUGUAUUUGGAAACCACAGAGCUCCGUCAGCGCACACGGGACGUUCUUUGCAACGUAACUCAGUCCUCACGACACUCCCAGGACAGCACAGUUGGGAAACCGAGGCACGCGGAAGGAGGAGGCCCACCCAGGGCCACAGCAGGGAGUCGGUGCAGCUCUGACGGGGCCAGUCUGGGACAUCUCGGCUGACACGCUCUGAGGGUCCCUCGUUGGGAGACGGAAUAGAAAAUCACGCCCAGGGUGAAUAUUUGGAGCGAGGAGGGAAGCCCCAGCCAUGGCCCAUUUUCCGGCUGACAAACAUCACAGAUGGCUUCGCAGCCCGGCCCGCCGUGCCUGGAGAUGUCGGAAUCCCGGGAAACCCUGAGAAACCCUCGCCCGGCCGAGACUCGAACCCAGGCCUUGGCCUCCUUCGGGGCUCUCUCGGCCAAAGCAGCGUCCUCUUAGGCGCCCGGUCUCCCCUGGACGAGUUUCUUUGCCACCGGAAUGAACCAAAGAUUCGGGGAAGGGUUUGGAAAUGGUUUCACCCUGCCCGCCUCCCAGCCCGCCCAGAGCAGGUGGUGGGAGCGAGGGAGGGUCUCGCUGGCGACGGUGGGCGGGCGGGGGGAGGCAGCUCGGUUCUGCGCCCAUUUACAUACUCCCUCUGUUCCCGGUCUGGAGCUCCUUCCCUUCCCUGGCGCCUCAAGGCACGGCUGCCCCCGGCAGAUGAAAGCUUAACGGAGUUUCACCACUUGAAAGUCAGUCGGAGGGAGCAGCCUUGAACAGUUCUGCGUGACAGAGAGAGGCGGACCGGCCACGCGAGGGACGCAGGUGUCCUAAAUUAUCUUAUGACAAAGGCGGCACCGCCUGCCAUGGGGGCAACGAGGAGGAAGCAGCCCUGGAAGCAGGUCGUCUCUUCAUCCAGCAAACGUGUGCUGAGCUGUACCUUACUCCCCCGCCCCCCCAGAAGCUCAAGGAGAGUAAGGCGUUGUCAUUGCCCCGAGAAGCGUCCAGCAUUGGCUGGAAGAAAGGAUCCCACAACAUAGAGAAGAAAGCAGGUUGGGAGAACCCUGUGCCCACAAAGCACAGUCCCCGCAGCCGGCCCUGCGAGACUGCCGCCUGAGUGUGAGCCGGCAGCCUGCACGGGAGGGCGCCUGCCAUCACCAGGCUCAGAGCCUUGCUGGGCUCCGGCUGGGGUUCCAGGGACAGUCAGAAAUCGGAGCGGAGUGAGCCCCCAUCGAGGGGGUCUCCUGAGAGACGGAGAAGGAUGGGGCAGGACGGCAGCCCUGCAAAUGGCUCAUCCCUGCCCUCCGUGCCUCAGUUUCCUCAUCUGCAAAAUGAGUAUGAUGAGAGUACCUCUGGACAGAGUUGCAAGGACAGAACGAGAUACCGCAUGGAAGCGCUUGGAGAGGGAGGCGGGCACGUCGUCAGUACCCGCGAGUGGUGGCCACGGGCGCUAUUAUUUUUAUUGUUAUUAAUGUCCCCAGAGCCUUGCCAGAUGUCCUUCAGCGCCUACGAACACGUCCUGGGUUGGCCUCUCUCCAGGGUCGUGUGCUUGUGCUCGCGUCCGCCAGGGAGCGAGGACAAGAGGCCCGGAGAGAGGGAGCGGUGGCAGCGGCGGAGCCGGCCCUCCAGCCUCCCGGUCCAAGGCCGUCUCCUUGCCCAGGGCCACCUCUGCACACUCUUCAAAAGAAGCGAGGUCGCACUCCCCCGGCUGAGCAGGGGAGGAGACCAAAGGCGGCUUUGAUAUGUCGGCUCGGGGAACAAGCUGAGCAUGAUGGAUCACGGCGCUGCUUCCCGCACGGGCACGGGGCCCUCAGUGAUGCUCUUCGGGCCCUCCUCUUCAUGUGCUGGUGUUUAUGAUUUUUUUUUUAAAGCGCCUCAUCAAAAAAAAAAAUGCAAUAAUGACACUUCUAACUUAACAGCAGCAUUUUAGAAGGGAUGAAUUAUUCACAUCAGAGAUGAAACAGGGACUUUGCAAACUGGGCCAGCUGAAGCAGUCCCUCUCCUUGGGACUAUUUUUAUCUUCCUUUACAGUCUUUCAUCUCGGGAGACACGCAGUUCAGAAAGUACGGGGAGCCCAUUGCGCGGAGCCCAAGUUGGCAGGAUGUCAAGCCUGAACUACGAGGCGUCUUGGAGCUUCUGCCUGGAGUACGAAACCGGAGGGAACUUCAAGUGUGGGAGACGGAGGAGCAGCAGCACUAAUGAGGCUGGUCGGGGAGUUCGGAGGACUCCCUGCUUCUUAGGCUCGCCGGGCUCUCGGAGGCCUGGUCGUCUGUCGUGGGCGCCAGGCAGCCCUGGCCUGCUCCUCAAGGUGGAGCGCACGGAGCUCUUGGGCUCGGGUCCUCGGGGUGCUCGGGUCCUCCCGCCCGGAGGAGGGAAGGGCUUUCAGGGCAAGUGUGGGCCGGCCGGGUGCCGAGCUCUGCAGGCCCCGGCGGCCAACACGGUCAGACCCACGCGUGCCUGGGCGCUGGACAGAGCACCCUGGACCCGAGGCGUCCCUGCAGAGCCAUUGAGGUGUGAUGUGAGCAACGCAGUGGGUUUCAAAGACUUUGCACAAAGAAAACGCGUAAACUAUCUCAUUAAUAUUUUUAUAUCAAUGGCAUGUUAAGAUGACAAUAUUUUGAAUACAAUCGGUUAAAUA